AACGAACGCUGGCGGCAGGCUUAACACAUGCAAGUCGAGCGCCCCGCAAGGGGAGCGGCAGACGGGUGAGUAACGCGUGGGAAUCUACCCAUCACUACGGAACAACUCCGGGAAACUGGAGCUAAUACCGUAUACGUCCUUCGGGAGCAAGAUUUAUCGGUGAUGGAGGAGCCCGCGUUGGAUUAGCUAGUUGGUGGGGUAAUGGCCCACCAAGGCGACGAUCGAUAGCUGGUCUGAGAGGAUGAUCAGCCACACUGGGACGGGGACACGGCCCGGAAUCCUGCGGGAGGCGGCAGUGGGGAAUAUUGGACAAUGGGCGCAAGCCUGAUCCAGCCAUGCCGCGUGAGUGAUGAAGGCCCUAGGGUUGUAAAGCUCUUCCACCGGUGAAGAUAAUGACGGUAACCGGAGAAGAAGCCCCGGCUAACUUCGUGCCAGCCGCCGCAGUAA
rnacentral:rRNA from 1 species